AGAACGAACGCUGGCGGCAGGCUUAACACAUGCAAGUCGAGCGCAUCCUUCGGGGUGAGCGGCAGACGGGUGAGUAACGCGUGGGGAUAUGCCCAGAGGUGUGGAAUAACUCAGGGAAACUUGAGCUAAUACCGCAUGAGCCCUUCGGGGGAAAGAUUUAUCGCCUUUGGAUUAACCCGCGUCAGAUUAGCUAGUUGGUAGGGUAAUGGCCUACCAAGGCGACGAUCUGUAGCUGGUCUGAGAGGAUGACCAGCCACACUGGGACUGAGACACGGCCCAGACUCCUACGGGAGGCAGCAGUGGGGAAUAUUGGACAAUGGGCGCAAGCCUGAUCCAGCCAUGCCUCGUGAGUGAUGACGGCCUUAGGGUUGUAAAGCUCUUUUAACAGGGACGAUAAUGACGGUACCUGUAGAAUAACGCCCGGCUAACUUCGCGCCAGCAGCCGC
rnacentral:rRNA from 1 species